rnacentral:rRNA from 1 species
CGGUUGGGGUGACCUCGGAGAAUAAAAAAUCCUCCGAAUGAUUAUAACCUAGACAAACAAGUCAAAGUAAACCUCAUAAUCUUAUUGACCCAAAACUAUUUGAUCAACGGACCAAGUUACCCUAGGGAUAACAGC